UACGGGGGAGGCAAGCGUUGUUCGGAUUUACUGGGCGUAAAGGGCGCGUAGGCGGCCACCGCAAGUCGGUUGUGAAAUCUCUGGGCUUAACCCAGAAAGGUCAACCGAUACUGCGGGGCUAGAGUGCAGAAGGGGCAACUGGAAUUCUCGGUGUAGCGGUGAAAUGCGUAGAUAUCUGCAGGAACACCCGUGGCGAAAGCGGCGCGCUGGACCACUACUGACGCUGAGGAACGAAAGCUAGGGGAGCAAACAGG
rnacentral:rRNA from 1 species